CAAUAGCGUAUAUUAAAGUUGUUGCGGUUAAAAAGCUCGUAGUUGGAGUUCUGCCAGGUGACGCUCGUCCGCCCAAGUGGUGUGUACAGGGCGUGCAUCUGGCCCUUUCAAGGGGAACGUGUCUGCACUUUACUGUGUGGUGCGAGAUCCUUGACUUUUACUUUGAGGAAAUCAGAGUGUUCCAAGCAGGCUCUCGUCGUGUAUAGCUCAGCAUGGAAUAAUAGCAUUGGACUUCGUUUCUAAGCUGUUGGUUGCAAGAAGCGAGGUAAUGAUGAAGAGGGAUAGUCGGGGGCAUUCGUAUUUUAUUGUCAGAGGUGAAAUUCUUGGAUUUAUGAAAGACGAACUACUGCGAAAGCAUUUGCCAAGGAUGUUUUCAUUAA
rnacentral:rRNA from 1 species